GCUGAGGCUAUUAGUGCCACUUUGGCUGCUGCUAAGGCACGGCAAGUUAAUGGAGAAGUUGAACUGCCAGACAGGGACCGCGGUGCAGAGGCUACCCCAAGUGGCAAACAGAUAUCUACUUUGAUUAAGCCUGAUUCUGCUGGAUCAAAUAACAUUGCUCCUGCUGGAGUUCGGUUGCAUCACAGAGCUGUUGUUGUAGCUGCAGAGACUGGUGGAGCUUUAGGUGGGAUGGUCAGACAGCUCUCAAUUGAUCAGUUUGAAAAUGAAGGCAGGCGGGUCAGCUAUGGGACCCCAGAGAGUGCAACUGCAGCUAGGAAACUACUAGAUCGACAGAUGUCCAUCAAUAGUGUGCCCAAAAAGGUUGUAGCGCAUCUUUUAAAGCCUCGUGGUUGGAAGCCUCCAGUUCGUCGUCAAUUUUUCUUGGAUUGCAAUGAAAUUGCGGAUCUUUGUGACAGUGCUGAAAGGAUAUUUUCAAGUGAGCCAAGUGUUUUACAGCU
rnacentral:misc_RNA from 1 species